rnacentral:rRNA from 1 species
UACGUAGGUGGCAAGCGUUGUCCGGAAUCACUGGGCGUAAAGCGCGCGCAGGCGGCGAUCUACGUCUGGGGUGAAAGCCCGGAGCUCAACUCCGGGACUGCCUUGGAUACGGGAUCGCUUGAGGAUUGGAGAGGCAAGGGGAAUUCCACGUGUAGCGGUGAAAUGCGUAGAUAUGUGGAGGAAUACCGAUGGCGAAGGCAGCCCCCUGGGAUAACACUGACGCUCAUGCACGAAAGCGUGGGGAGCAAACAGG